rnacentral:rRNA from 1 species
AUUGAACGCUGGCGGCAGGCCUAACACAUGCAAGUCGAGCGGAUGAAGGGAGCUUGCUCCUGGAUUUAGCGGCGGACGGGUGAGUAAUGCCUAGGAAUCUGCCUGGUAGUGGGGGAUAACGUCCGGAAACGGGCGCUAAUACCGCAUACGUCCUGAGGGAGAAAGUGGGGGAUCUUCGGACCUCACGCUAUCAGAUGGGCCUAGGUCGGAUUAGCUAGUUGGUGGGGUAAAGGCCUACCAAGGCGACGAUCCGUAACUGGUCUGAGAGGAUGAUCAGUCACACUGGAGCUGAGACACGGUCCAGACUCCUACGGGAGGCAGCAGUGGGGAAUAUUGGACAAUGGGCGAAAGCCUGAUCCAGCCAUGCCGCGUGUGUGAAGAAGGUCUUCGGAUUGUAAAGCACUUUAAGUUGGGAGGAAGGGCAGUAAGUUAAUACCUUGCUGUUUUGACGUUACCAACAGAAUAAGCACCGGCUAACUUCGUG